AGAGUUUGAUCCUGGCUCAGGACGAACGCUGGCGGCGUGCCUAAUACAUGCAAGUAGAACGCUGAGGUUUGGUGUUUACACUAGACUGAUGAGUUGCGAACGGGUGAGUAACGCGUAGGUAACCUGCCUCAUAGCGGGGGAUAACUAUUGGAAACGAUAGCUAAUACCGCAUAAGAGUAAUUAACACAUGUUAGUUAUUUAAAAGGAGCAAUUGCUUCACUGUGAGAUGGACCUGCGUUGUAUUAGCUAGUUGGUGAGGUAAAGGCUCACCAAGGCGACGAUACAUAGCCGACCUGAGAGGGUGAUCGGCCACACUGGGACUGAGACACGGCCCAGACUCCUACGGGAGGCAGCAGUAGGGAAUCUUCGGCAAUGGACGGAAGUCUGACCGAGCAACGCCGCGUGAGUGAAGAAGGUUUUCGGAUCGUAAAGCUCUGUUGUUAGAGAAGAACGUUGGUAGGAGUGGAAAAUCUACCAAGUGACGGUAACUAACCAGAAAGGGACGGCUAACUACGUGCCAGCAGCCGCGGGUAAUACGUAGGUCCCGAGCGUUGUCCGGAUUUAUUGGGCGUAAAGCGAGCGCAGGCGGUUCUUUAAGUCUGAAGUUAAAGGCAGUGGCUUAACCAUUGUACGCUUUGGAAACUGGAGGACUUGAGUGCAGAAGGGGAGAGUGGAAUUCCAUGUGUAGCGGUGAAAUGCGUAGAUAUAUGGAGGAACACCGGUGGCGAAAGCGGCUCUCUGGUCUGUAACUGACGCUGAGGCUCGAAAGCGUGGGGAGCAAACAGGAUAGAUACCCUGGUAGUCCACGCCGUAAACGAUGAGUGCUAGGUGUUAGGCCCUUUCCGGGGCUUAGUGCCGCAGCUAACGCAUUAAGCACUCCGCCUGGGGAGUACGACCGCAAGGUUGAAACUCAAAGGAAUUGACGGGGGCCCGCACAAGCGUGGAGCAUGUGGUUUAAUUCGAAGCAACGCGAAGAACCUUACCAGGUCUUGACAUCCUUCUGACCGGCCUAGAGAUAGGCUUUCUCUUCGGAGCAGAAGUGACAGGUGGUGCAUGGUUGUCGUCAGCUCGUGUCGUGAGAUGUUGGGUUAAGUCCCGCAACGAGCGCAACCCCUAUUGUUAGUUGCCAUCAUUAAGUUGGGCACUCUAGCGAGACUGCCGGUAAUAAACCGGAGGAAGGUGGGGAUGACGUCAAAUCAUCAUGCCCCUUAUGACCUGGGCUACACACGUGCUACAAUGGUUGGUACAACGAGUCGCAAGCCGGUGACGGCAAGCUAAUCUCUUAAAGCCAAUCUCAGUUCGGAUUGUAGGCUGCAACUCGCCUACAUGAAGUCGGAAUCGCUAGUAAUCGCGGAUCAGCACGCCGCGGUGAAUACGUUCCCGGGCCUUGUACACACCGCCCGUCACACCACGAGAGUUUGUAACACCCGAAGUCGGUGAGGUAACCUUUUAGGAGCCAGCCGCCUAAGGUGGGAUAGAUGAUUGGGGUGAAGUCGUAACAAGGUAGCCGUAUCGGAAGGUGCGGCUGGAUCACCU
rnacentral:rRNA from 1 species